UACGGAGGGUGCAAGCGUUAUCCGGAUUUACUGGGUUUAAAGGGUGUGUAGGCGGGCCAUUAAGUCAGGGGUGAAAUCCCGGAGCUCAACUCCGGAACUGCCUUUGAUACUAUUGGUCUUGAAUGUUGUUGAGGUGGGCGGAACGGGUCAUAUAGCGGUGAAAUGCAUAGAUAUGACCCGGAACACCGAUUGCGAAGGCAGCCCGCUAAGCCAACUAUUGACGCUGAGGCACGAAAGCGUGGGGAGCGAACAGG
rnacentral:rRNA from 1 species